rnacentral:rRNA from 1 species
GAUGAACGCUGGCGGCGUGCCUAAUACAUGCAAGUCGAGCGAAUGGAUUAAGAGCUUGCUCUUAUGAAGUUAGCGGCGGACGGGUGAGUAACACGUGGGUAACCUGCCCAUAAGACUGGGAUAACUCCGGAAAACCGGGGCUAAUACCGGAUAAUAUUUUGAACUGCAUGGUUCAAAAUUGAAAGGCGGCUUCGGCUGUCACUUAUGGAUGGACCCGCGUCGCAUUAGCUAGUUGGUGAGGUAACGGCUCACCAAGGCAACGAUGCGUAGCCGACCGGAGAGGGUGAUCGGCCACACUGGGACUGAGACACGGCCCAGACUCCUACGGGAGGCAGCAGUAGGGAAUCUUCCGCAAUGGACGAAAGUCUGACGGAGCAACGCCGCGUGAGUGAUGAAGGCUUUCGGGUCGUAAAACUCUGUUGUUAGGGAAGAACAAGUGCUAGUUGAAUAAGCUGGCACCUUGACGGUACCUAACCAGAAAGCCACGGCUAACUACGUGCCAGCCGCCGCGGUAA